CCUACGGUGGCAGCAGUGAGGAAUAUUGGUCAAUGGGCGCGAGCCUGAACCAGCCAAGUCGCGUGAGGGAUGACGGUCCUACGGAUUGUAAACCUCUUUUGCCGGGGAGCAAGCGUGCGUUCGUGAACGCGCGUCGAGAGUACCCGGAGAAAAAGCAUCGGCUAACUCCGUGCCAGCGGCCGCGGUAAUACGGAGGAUGCGAGCGUUAUCCGGAUUUAUUGGGUUUAAAGGGUGCGUAGGCGGGAUGCCAAGUCAGCGGUAAAAAUGCGGUGCUCAACCCCUUCCCGCCAUUGAAACUGGCGUUCUUGAGUGGAAGAGAAGUAUGCGGAAUGCGUGGUGUAGCGGUGAAAUGCAUAGAUAUCACGCAGAACCCCGAUUGCAAAGGCAGCAUGCCGGCUUCCGACUGACGCUGAAGCACGAAAGCGUGGGGAUCGAACAGGAUUAGAUACCCCAGUAGUC
rnacentral:rRNA from 1 species